ACUGGCCUUAGCAACGGCAGAUUGACAUUGCAUUUUGCUGCCUAAUUUGUUGUCUAUAACAAUUCUCAAAUCCUUCUCGUGUGUGGUUAUCCCUAAUUCACUACCAUUUAGGGUGUAGGUUGCUUGUGCAUUCUUGACCCCGAAGUACAUAAUUUUGCAUUUCUCUACAUUAAAUUUUAUCUGCCAUUUUAGUGCCCAGUCCCCCAAUCUAUCUAAAUCCCUCUGUUGCAAAGCAAUAUCCUGCUCACAGUUUAUUAACACAAACUUAUGAUUUAUUCCAUUCACGACAUUGGGACAUUCUAUGCAGUCCUAAAAUUGAUGGGCUUUAAUGCUGAUCCGAUCGUACAUGCUUGCAUUUUAUGGUGAGCAGGGAUAAAUCUCACACCAGGGUCUCUAAUAACUCUGUGCAAACAUUUUCUAAUGUGGUUAAAAUCCUAAUUGAACAAUUACCACAGCAUAAUCAAUUGAUUAAACACAGCAUUUGUUUUCAAGAAAAAUUAGCCUUAAAGGAAUAGUCACAAAAUUGAUAGUUUUUCUUGCCCUGGAUCAUGCUUAAGUCAUGAGACAAUUGUUAGAUAGAUCUAACUGUAGACCCUACUGCCCACAUUGCCAAAAUCUAUUUUAGACAAGGCUAAGGUAUGUCUUUUUGCUGAUGAUACUAAAAUUUGAAACAGGGUUAAUGCUCCAGGAGGGACAAGCCAAAUGGCAAAUGAUUUAGGUAAAUUAGAAAAAUGGUCAGAGCUGUGGCAGCUGACAUUUAAUGUGGAUAAGUGCAAGAUCAUGCAUCUUGGGUGUAAAAACCCAACGGCAGAGUAUAGGAUAUUUGAUACCCUACUAACCUUAACAUCUGAGGAAAGGGAUAUAUGAGUAAUUAUUUCAGAUGACUUAAAGGUAGGCAGACAAUGUAAUAGAGCAGCAGGAAAUGCUAGCAGAAUGCUUGGUUGUAUAGGGAGAGGUAUUAGCAGUAGAAAGAGGGAAGCGCUCAUGCCAUUGUACAGAACACUGGUGAGACCUUACUUGGAGUAUUGUACGCAGUACUGGAGACCGUAUCUUCAGAAGGAUAUUGAUACUUUAGAGAG